rnacentral:rRNA from 1 species
GACGGGGGGGGCAAGUGUUCUUCGGAAUGACUGGGCGUAAAGGGCACGUAGGCGGUGAAUCGGGUUGAAAGUGAAAGUCGCCAAAAAGUGGCGGAAUGCUCUCGAAACCAAUUCACUUGAGUGAGACAGAGGAGAGUGGAAUUUCGUGUGUAGGGGUGAAAUCCGUAAAUAUACGAAGGAACGCCAAAAGCGAAGGCAGCUCUCCGGUCCUGGACCUCCGAUGACCCGUACGGG